UUAACUAACUAUCGGAAUAUUGGAUUUAAGUAUCAUAAUGCACUAACAUAACAAUUCACCCUCAUAAUCAUAUGGUCACUCUAAACAAUCGUUUAUCGUUUCAUGUAUCAUCACUAUAUACAUAUGUUUAUACCAUCAACAUCAAUGUAUAAAUAAUUUGUUUGCAAAUCUUUAACAAGUUUCUCGAAGUUCUUAAUUUCACACAUAGGCGUUGGCGUUUACCCGUCUUCACGGGACGGCCAAGGAAAUCUUCCCCCUCGUUGAGCUGGGAAGUCCCUGAAUCGGUUUUCUUUAUGCAGAACGCUUAAUUUCUUUGUUUUUUAUUAAAGUUUAAAUUAAAAUUUUAUUUUUAGUCCCAUAUGAUCAUAUUUUAGAACAAUUAAAAAAAUAUUAUAUAAAAUGGAAUAAAACUAUUUUAUAAAAAUAUUUUAAACAAGAAAGGAAAGCUAACUUCGGGCGGAGCCGAAGUUUAUAUACCCUUGCAGUUGUGUCGCAGUCCGCUAGGUGGCGCCACGCAUCUUAUAUUAUUAGAUAUAUAGCGGAUCGUAUAUAGUUGGCCGAUCCUUAUGAAACUUGGCAAAUCGAAUUAUUUUGCCAAAAGAGGAAUCCAUUGAAACUCCCAUCCUUCUAACUUGAAAAACAACGAAGUUAUAGCAUUUCCGAUCAAUCAGUUAUAUGGCAGCUAUAGGAUAUAGACGGCCGAUCCUGAUGACAUUUAGCAGAUCAUAUAAGUUGGCCCAAAUUAGAAUGCACAGAAAGUCCCAUCCUUCUAACUUGAAAAACAACGAAGUUAUAGCAUUUCCGAUCAAUCAGUUAUAUGGCAGCUAUAGGAUAUAGUCGGCCGAUCCUUAUGAAAUUUUGUACAUAAGAUAUUUUGGUCAAAUAUAACAUGUGUGGAAAGUCCCAACCCUCUAACUUAAAAAACACCAAAGUUAUGGCAUUUCCGAUCAAUCAGUUAUAUGGCAGCUAUAGGAUAUAGUCGACCGAUCCCGGCCGUUCCGACUUAUAUACUGCCUGCAAAGGAAAGAAGGGUGUGUGCAAAGUUUCAACUCGAUAGCUUUAAAACUGAGAGACUAGUUUGCGUAGAAACAGACAGACGGACAGACGGACCGACGGACAGACGGACAGACGGACAUGCUCAUAUCGACUCAGGAGGUGAUCCUGAUCAAGAAUAUAUAUACUUUAUAGGGUCGGAGAUGUCUCCUUCACUGCGUUGCACACUUUUGACCAAAAUUAUAAUACCCUCUGCAAGGGUAUAAAAACGAAAUUUAAAAAUAUUGUUCCAUUCGUGAACAAAGAAUUCUGUUGGCAAAACAACAAAGUGUUGCAGCCUUAUUUAUAUGUAUGUAUAAUCUACAUUGUAUAUAUACAAUUGUACGCAUGCUACAAGUGGCACAAUUUUGAUGUUUUAUUAAUAAAUUGAAGCCAGUCAGACAAAGAAAUAAAUUUACACAUUGUUCUGCAACGAUAGAACUUAAAAAGUUACUAAUCAAUUACUUGGAAAAUUGACAAGGUGUCAACCACAAACAGAGAUUUUCAAUAGGGUUUGCAGCAUGGAUAAAAAUCCUGUUUCACCGCUAAAAUAUUCCAAGUGAAUUCCUUCCAGGUGAAUCAAUUGCGUCAUCGAUUUCGGUGGCACCCGUGUAAGAAAUUCAUUUCAUAAAGAAAUUUUCUUAAAGAUCAGCAAACUGUAUUCGAUAUAUAUGCGGUCCGAUAUAAAUCUUUUAAUAAAAGCUGAUAUUUAACUGCAAAAGUAUAUCAACUUCUGCUACGCUAUAAUUUAGCUUACUUUCUUUUAGUUGUACAAUGCUUUUAUCCAUUGCAUUAAUACAUUGCAUUGAAUCUGCAUUAGUUAUUGUAGUGGUGAAUGAACCUGUAAGUAGAAAGAAUAGAUAUAUAUAUAUAUACAAGUAUAUUGUAUAUUGUAAAUAGAUAUAGAUAUAAAUAUAAUUGAGAUUUAGUUUGAAAAGACAUAUAGUGGAUUUGUCAUCCUUAAAGUCCAGUAUAAGUAAAAAAACUAUAGAUAUACAUAGAUAGACUACGGUAGAUAUAGCUAGACUUAAGUUUGAAUACGUGAAUAGAGCUAAUUGUAAAGUGGAAUCGAGUGCACGUCGGUUUCGAUAGUUAAUAUUCAAUAAUCAAUUUUUUAAUAAAAAUGUUCGAAGUCUCCAGCAUCUUGAAAAAUAGCAAGUAUGUCCAAUUUCCGAUCGUUCAGUUACAUGACAGCUAUAGGAUAUCGGUCGAUUCUUAUAGAAUUUGGCAGAUCGGAUUAUAUUUAUUUAUUUAUUUAAUGUAACAAAUAUCUGUUAUUUUAAAUUAAUUAUAAUUAAAAGUAAGGCUAAAUUAUUCUAAUAAAGAUACAAUUAAAUUAUUGUACCUAGGGAUAAUUCAGGGAAAAUAAAUGCGACAAUAGGUUAUAA